UACGUAGGUGGCAAGCGUUGUCCGGAUUUACUGGGCGUAAAGAGCGCGCAGGCGGUCGUUCAAGUCGCGUGUGAAAGCCCCCGGCUCAACUGGGGAGGGUCAUUCGAUACUGAUCAACUUGAAGGCAGGAGAGAGAAGUGGAAUUCCCGGUGUAGUGGUGAAAUGCGUAGAGAUCGGGAAGAACACCAACGGCGAAAGCACUCUGCUGGGCCGAAACUGACACUGAGAGACGAAAGCUAGGGGAGCAAAUGGG
rnacentral:rRNA from 1 species